GAUGAACGCUGGCGGCGUGCCUAAUACAUGCAAGUCGAGCGAACGGACGAGAAGCUUGCUUCUCGGAUGUUAGCGGCGGACGGGUGAGUAACACGUGUAUAACCUACCUAUAAGACUGGGAUAACUUCGGGAAACCGGAGCUAAUACCGGAUAAUAUUUUGAACCGCAGGGUUCAAAAGUGAAAGACGGUCUUGCUGUCACUUAUAGAUGGUUCCGCGCUGCAUGAGCUAGUUGGUAAGGUAACGGCUUACCAAGGCAACGAUGCAUAGCCGACCGGAGAGGGUGAUCGGCCACACUGGAGCUGGGACACGGUCCAGACUCCUAAGGGAGGCCGCAGUCGGGAAUGUUCCGCAAUGGGGGAAAGCGUGACGGAACAACGCCGCGUGAGUGAUGAAGGUGUUCGGAUCGUAAAACUCUGUUAUUAGGGAAGAACAUAUGUGUAAGUAACUGUGCACAUCUUGACGGUAACUAAUCAGAAAGCAACGGCUAACUACGUG
rnacentral:rRNA from 1 species